AGAACGAACGCUGGCGGCAUGCCUAAUACAUGCAAGUCGAACGAACUCUUCGGAGUUAGUGGCGCACGGGUGCGUAACGCGUGGGAAUCUGCCCCUUGGUUCGGAAUAACAGUUGGAAACGACUGCUAAUACCGGAUGAUGACGAAAGUCCAAAGAUUUAUCGCCAAGGGAUGAGCCCGCGUAGGAUUAGCUAGUUGGUGAGGUAAAGGCUCACAAGGCAACGAUCCUUAGCUGGUCUGAGAGGAUGAUCAGCCACACUGGGACUGAGACACGGCCCAGACUCCGUACGGGAGGCAGCGAAGGUAGGGAAAUAUUGGAACGUAAGUGGGACGGAAAGCCUGGACUCCAGACAAUCGCCGCGU
rnacentral:rRNA from 1 species